rnacentral:lncRNA from 12 species
GAUUUUCUGGUCAAUUUAUUGAAUACAUUGAAUUAAUUUUUUGUCAGACAGUAAAGAUUUGCUGACUGGGUGAAUGAUGUGAACGAACCAUGGCAACCAAAGAAUACUCAGUCUGGAUUAACUAAUGCAACCAGUGAAGUGGUGAUCCAGAAAGGAAAGAAAAGUUUCCCAUAAAUAUCCUUCUAGAGUGUCUCCGUGAAAUUGCUUGGCAAUGAACCAUGUGCGGCUGGAGGAUGAUGGGAGUAGAGGCAGAGUUGAUAAAAG